rnacentral:lncRNA from 13 species
CCUACACAACAGCACCUACAGCAACAACACCUAUAGCAACUACACCUAUACAACAGCAUCUACAGUAACAACACCUAUAGUAACAGUACCUAUAGCAACAUCACCUACAGCAACAACACCUACAGCAACUACACCUAUACAACAUCACCUAUACAGCAACAACACCUAUAGCAACAUCCCCUAUACAGCAGCACCUACAGCAACAACACCUAUAGCAACAUCACCUAUACAGCAGCACCUACAGUAACAACACCUAUAGCAACAGCACCUACAGCAACAACACCUACAGCAACUACACUUAUACAACAGCACCUAUAGCAACAUCAUCUACAGCAACAACACCUACAGCAACGUGUCUUCAGUGAUGCUGUGGAAUGUGGUAGUGGAGCUGUUUCUUUUGUUGGUUUCUCCUCUUUACUGUGGAAACCGUGUGCUUUUAGCUCCAGCCCUCAUCACUGUAUGUGAUUGAUUGUGUU